rnacentral:ncRNA from 2 species
GUAUUUUAUCGUUGUGAUUUAGCCGAACUUGCCGCAACGUAAAACAAGGCGCUAAACGGGCGUUACUUUUUAGGA